rnacentral:siRNA from 1 species
CUAUGGUUCAAAUAUUUGGGCAC